GGAUUGAGGGGGCUGCUUAGAGGUUCCUGGAAAUAGCCCUCCAUGAGAUCGUACCCUAAACCGACACAGGUGGGAUGGUAGAGCAUACCAAGGCGCUUGAGAGAACUAUGCUGAAGGAACUCGGCAAAUUGCCUCCGUAACUUCGGGAGAAGGAGGCCCACGUUCAAGGCAACUUUUACGUGGGGGCACAGAAGAGGGGGUGGCGACUGUUUACUAAA
rnacentral:rRNA from 11 species